AUAAUCAUUUCCAUGAAGUUAUUUUUAUAUAUCAAAGAAUAAAUAAUGAAAUAUUAUAUUUUUGUUGCAUGUGAGUAUCCAUGUGCUUGAGCUAAUUACCAUCGUGCUGUAAAGCGCCUUGGGGGGUUCUACGAUUCGAGACGGUGUUACGUGAAAACAGGCCAUUCAGCUUUUUAUAUUCAUCUAAAAUGUGGUUAUGAGGUAGUUCUAAUUUUUAUUUCAUGAACCCUUUACUCAUCACAGAGCUCACCUUUUACACCAUUGUAUUAUUUUGAAUUACCACUUUUAGGAUCCGUUUGAACAAAUAAAAAUUACAGUAACUUAUAAGGAACAGGUUGUUUUGUGUGUAGAGUUGAUUGAUUUAAUACCAAAAUAAAGUAAAAGUUUUUUAAAGUAAAGUUUCAAUGAGAACCUGUCACGGUCUGCCCUGAUCAUUCCCAGUUACAGUCAAUAUGCUGCAGUUGUCCCAGGUUUGUGUUCACAGGUGGGCGUGUCGGUGAGCUCCCUGAUCAGAGGGCCAGGGGUAUUUAAGGAGCGGUGUGACACAACUCCAGUGCCGGUUCAUACUCUCACCUUGGAAAGAACCUACCGUCGCCUGGAGUAGUCUGCCAACGUCACGUCGCUCAAAGAUCCCCUGGCCUCCGCUCUCCACCGUCCGCCCGUCGUCCUGCCAGCCUUCCAGCCUGCCUCUCAGCCAGCUUCCCAGCCUGCCUUACUGCCAGCCUUACUGCCAGCCUUCCAGCCUGCCUUACUGCCAGCCUUCCAGCCUGCCUUACUGCCAGCCUUCCAGCCUGCCUUACUGCCAGCCUUCCAGCCUUGUCGUGGAUCUGAACUCCCGCCAUUCGUCCAUUACCGCCCGGUCCCAAAGACCCAGCAAUCUCCUUGUUCCCAGACCUGACCCAGUCCAUCCUCACCAGUCCUGGUCAUCAACCGUAAGAAUAACCUCCAAAACAAAUCAUAUUCUUGGUUCUCUGGUUCCGGGUUUAUCGGUUUGCUUCUCGUUUUAGAUUCCGGUUCGUCCUGUUCCCGUUUGGAGCAGCGCCCUUAGUUUUACUCACCAUUCUUAACAAAGAUUAUUAUAUGAUUUUUGCUUACCCUUUCUCCGUAGCGUGAUUCUUUCAUGUCUUGGGUGAAACUGCUUCCCACAAACAUGACAGAACCAUCAAAUAUUUGUUACUUCACACGGCAACAUUUACAUUAAUGGUCUUCUUUACCUUGGGUGGCGAGCGUGAAAGGCUCGUGAGUGGUUUCUCUAGCCAGGUGAGUAGAUUGCAUCUCAGCUAGUAGAAGCUAACCGUUAGCAUUAGCAUUUCGACAACAUAAUGGAACACACUCAGACUUGUGUUAUCUGUGGAGAAUAAACAUCAACAUUGAAGAGCGAAUGAAGGCAGCGGAAGAGUCCCAUUGCUGUCAGCCAAUCAGAGAUGAUAAAUUUGCAUCUCAUGAAUAUUAAUGAGUAGAGCCUGGGGCACACCGGAGGCAGAUGUGCCAUGCAGCAUCGCAACCGCGGUUUUGAGAAGUUAAAUGGUCACGCUGAGCGCUUCUUGGAAAGUCUCGCGACAUUCACAGCAUCACGUGGGAUUGAGAACAGGAAGCAGGAAAUGACUGUAUUGUUUAUACUUGCUGUCGUGUUUUGUGAGACAAAUUAAUUCACAGUGGGUAAGUAAUGCUAUGCAUUAAAACAUUUUAAGAUCAAUAGUACUUUAAAGCGGUUGGGUUUGUGCGGUAAAGCCGUUCCGCAUCGUAAUGUCUGUUGUAAAGUACUCCACAAUGCUGUAAACAGCCGCGACGCUUGAGAUCGAACUGCCGCCUAACUUCAGCGCCUUGGCGUGGUGCUUCUGGGACGUGGCGCUCCCCGUGUGCCCACUCUCCUUAACUAUAGUGGUUUCUAUUUAAAAUGAUGGCACGACGCUGUGCAGCGCGUCCGCCUCCGGCGUGCCCCAAGCUUUAGACUCCAAGUGCUGUCGUCCUCCCCAGACUCAUUUUACCUGCUGAAACAGGAGCGCCAGAGCUUGUUUUCCACUGAAAAAUACUCACAAGGCAUUCAUACUAGAAGCCACUAACUAAAAAGUAUUUUGCACUUUUUCUUUUAUUUUAUCAUCCUAAUAAAUUAAUAAUAAAUAUCUUCUCCAUCUCUGGAUUAGAAGAACAGAUUCGAGGGGAAAAAGCUGCCAAAGUACCUGAGAUUCCAAGACGGUGAUCGUAAUAAAACAGGAGAGGAAUUUGGGGUCAUGCUGGAGUCUUGGUGCACCUGUGUUUUAUUUUUUAUGAGAUUAGCCUCUCUUCACUGUUAAUCAGCGUUCCAGCGCCUGCAUCAUUGCAGCUGAUGCACUUAGAGAGCUAGCUUGCUCUUGAUUGAUGAGGCCUGAGAGUCCCCUGCUUGGAAAAAGAGGAUGAAGGCAACCAUAAACGAUGGAAUGAUGCAUUUAAGAGCUCUGGCUGUUUUCCUCUCUUGUCACACUCCAUCCACCCACCAGAUGUCCUCAGGCGACCCAGGACAUUCACACCAGCUCAUCCUCAACACCUGGUUCCAAAUAAAUCCCCGCAGCGUGGAUUCCCACCACCUCGCCCUAGUAACUUGUCAGGUUGUUGUGCCGUUUUGUUUCCUUAUGCUGCUCAGCACUUGCCCUCUGAUAACAUUCUGUCACUGCUUCCUGCCUGCUUGCUUGGUUUUAUUCUCGGCUAAAUAAAGCAGUAAACUCUUCCUGCCAGCCUGUUUAUGUCCACCUUCCCUCCCAGCCUCACCUUAUAAAAGCUGAUAACAAGGCAUGAAGACACAACAUGUUCCUGUUUAUGUCCGAACAGAUUAGACAGGCUGGAUUAUGAGGCGUGUUGAGUGAUGUCUUCAUCGCAGCAUGUGGUUAAAUAAAUAAUGUUUAUUUUGAACCAAAGUGACCAUCUUUCUUCAGCAAAACUGCACAAAAUACAUCUUAAACAUCAGGAUUACUCAUAUUUUAAUACAUUAGUAGUGGUCUCUAGUAGGAAUAAAUGCCUUUAAAGUUGUUCUCCUUAGAAAAACGUGCCGGUGCACCGGUGUCGGUGCAGGAUGCAACAUUUUGAGUCAAAGAAUGUAUUCAGAUACCAACUAAGGAAAUAUACAGACAAACUCCACAUGAAUACAAACAGACGUGGCUUCACAUAUAAGAACUGUUCUGUUGUUUGUCAGUCCCAUGUUGGUUUUAUGCAGUUUCACAUUCUUUACAAAACAAAGGUAAUAUGGUGUUUUAUUAACAAAUUACAAUCAUAAAGAAAACAUUUAGGUGUUAACAAACAAGAAUUUAUUAACAAAACUGCUGAUGUCUUUCCAAAACGUGUGUGUGAAAGCCGAGUAGAUGUGCAGUCAUGUGACGUCAUCAGCGGGCGCUGGACCCCGAGCCGAUCCUGCACCCGAGCAGAUCCUGUACCGACACCGGUACGAGGACGUAGAAGUCAGCCAGAGGAGAAAGUAGCUUCGAUGGCAGGAUUUGGGGUCUUAUUUCCUGAUAUUUGGACAUCUCAUCUCUGAUUGGCUAACAUCAACACGACUCUACCACUUAAUUAUUUGCCCUGCAACGUUGAUGUUUUAUCUCCACAGUUGCUAAUGCUAAUGGUUAGCUUCUACUAGCUGAGACGUGUCUCCUGGACACUAAAUCAAUGACAGCCUUCCCUGUCGUUAGUCAAAAUGGGCGAGUCCGUGAAUAUAAGGUGACAGUGUGAAGUAGAUUUGUCUGAUUUUGAACGGAGUGCUUUCCUGUCUAUUUUCUAUCAGAGGCGAAUGCAGGAGAUGGUGUAGAUGACUAUUUUAUGUUCAGUCUGCAUGAAAAACUCAGUGAAUUAUAGAAGUUGGCUACAAAUGGGAUUGUCAGUGAACCUGCUCUCCAAAGCAAUGUUUGGCCCUAGUUUCUCUCUUUUUUCCAACCAUCUCCCUUAUUGAUCAUCUUUUAUAUUUUUUGAUUAUUUCCUGUUAAAUUUUUUGAAAUAUGAAGCCUAUUAUUUGAUUCUGAUCUUAUGUAAGUCUUGUAGUGAAGAAAAACAAACCUGGAAUCUUUUAAUGUAAAAUCAUUUGUCUUCGGUUUAAAUAGUUUAAAAUUAUAAGGAAAAACAAAAUUCUUGUAAAGAAAGUUUGAUGUGGAUCCCGAAUCCUACUUUUAAUGAAGCCACCUGCAUUUUUCCAACUCCUAAACACAAUCAUACCUGUGGGACUGGUCCUAGCCCGAGCCCUGAUCAUUACCACUUCAGAUAAGACACCAAGGUCUGUCCAACCAUCGAUGUAUUGGGUUCCUCACACAGUUACUGGCCUCUGUCUUCAGUUCCUGCUCUCAUAAAUUCCUCCACCAGAACAGACAUCCUGAAGGCCUGUAGAUAUUCCUUUUUGUUCAGCGACAUUAUUAACCAUCACCCUGUUGAGAUGAACUCAGACCAACAGAUCUCUGAGUUUAAUUCAAUCUGUGGAGAUGUCAUGAACUCCCCUCCGACACACUGGAGUGUGAGAAAACCCAGAGCACAGUGACACCCAGCCUCUCAUGCAGUUAAGUAUAGGAGCUGAAUGUCGCUGGAGAGGAGAUAGGCUUAAGGUCUUAUCAGAGACACUUUAAAGCUGCCUGACAAACCGUCAGCUGGCUAUAAAACUUGCAAGAGCCAAUUAUUUUACCUCCAUCAAACUAAAAAAAAAAAAAUGUUCACAGUCCUAUUGUCUUUUUUCCCUUCUUCUUCAUCAUACGUUUAAUUCUGAUCUCAGUCCUGCUGUCUCUGUGUCCAGACCUGCGUACCGCCAUCUUGAUCUCACAUGAUCAAAUGUCCAACUCACCCCCACCCCCCCAGGUCUCUUCCUUCAAAAUCAGCAUGUGUUCCAAAUGAUUUAUGUCUCACACAACUACCUCUCCUCUUCUUAUCAUUUCAAUCCACUUUGGAUUACAUCCUCAGAGUAAUUGAACAGUCACCCACUAAUAAAAUGGUCCUGUUCUGUUUAGCGCACAGGAAAUGGACAAACACCUUAAAAGUUGAUACGUUUGGUCUGAAUAACAGUUUCAAAUUAAUUUCUUUCACCAAAUUCUCGAAAACCUUCUGACAGCUUCCUUUAUUAAAACAUUAAUAUUAAAACAUAUAAUUUCUCAGGUCUAACGUGACACAUUCUGACCAGAACUGAAGCCUUACUCAAAGUCACAAAUGUGUUACUUUAAAACUUUGAGGCUUUUUGUUCCUUCAGCCCUGUCAGAGAGCAGCUUGGCUUCCAUAAUUCUGUCUUCCAGUUGUUUUUUUCUUCGUAAAUGUGGAGACUUUCCACCACUUUGUUGUGGAGUACCUCAGGGAACCAUUUCAGAGCCCGUUUUAUUCACAUAUUUACUUUCUAAUGGAAAAAUAAUUUUACCAAUUUAAAAAAUAUCAACAAGACAACUAGGGCUAGUGUUUUUCUGCCACCAGGAAUAAUUAAGUUAAAAUGUGAAAACUUUGUUUAUUAACCAAUCAGCAUCAACCAGCAGAAUGAACUGAAUCAUCUCUAAAACACAUCCAGACGGCUGCAUCUUUAAUCACAUCUAGGCUGGAAUAUUCUGAUUCCUUGCUUUGGUACCAACCAGUCUCUGUUGUCCCAUCUGCAGCUGGUGCUAAAUUCUGCAGCCAGACAUGUAGCGUGUGCCAGUAAAACAGAGAUAGUAAUUCUUCUUUACUUGCCAGUGCCAGAGCCAGCAGCGUUUUUGCGGUGGUGGCAAGACAGAGACUGUGUCUGGCCAUCUAAACAGACUGCUGUGUGUCUCAGUAAUGUUUUUUCAUGUAUAACUCAGCUGUACAUCCUGCGUAGGUCAAAUAUUAGCCUGUCUGUUUCAGCUAACUUGGCUGCCAUGUUUAACUGCAUCUUGUUUUGAAGUCAUUCAGGCCAUCAUAGCACCAAAAACCCUUGUAAUGGUGUAAUUCUGACUUUUCACUUACCUGGUUUAAGUAGUAAUAAAUGACAGUACUUGUUAUAUACUUGAAUGUGUACUUUUGUUAAAGUGGAACACUGAAGAACCAUUUUUAAAUUGAUUUUUUCUGAUUAUAUUUGGUCACUUUGAGUUUUUCAUGCAGGCUGAACAUGAAAAUAGUCUCCUACACCUAUCUACUGCAUUAGCUUCUGAUAGAAAAUAGACGGUGAAACUCUAGGAUUAGAAAAUCCUGACAGAUCUACGUCACCUGUCCCUUAACACUCAUGGACUCACCCAUCUUGACUCACGAUGGGGAAAGCUGUUGUUGAUUUAGCGUCCAGGAAACAGCAGAGAAUGUCUCGACUACAGGGCUGCCACAUGCAUUUGACCCUCUUCACACGCUCUCACUCCAAACCUCCAACAUCUCACGCUGAUUAAUCAAUCUGCAACCCAACUUGCAACUUCCGACUGGCAGGCCGCUCUGUUGGGACUUAAUUUGAGCUGACACACCUGGUGCUGCAGUCUGGUUUCAGCACGUUUCCUGCAUGUUUUAGAUCAUGAACACAGCUGAUUUGUUUAAUUUAGUGAUGCAUCACUCCUGUAGACACUAAGGAAGGCUGGGAGAUGUUUCAGCUGUUUGAUUAGGGUGUUGACCCUCUGGAGGCGGGCGUUGCAGAUUUGCAACAGUUAAAACCUACCUGGUUACUCCACACACGUGUUUCAUGAGCAUGUUUUAACUCAGAAGUACCCCUGAAGGACUUAGUUGUCCGUCCUCCUGUUAUCAAACUUAUUCUGAGCCUGAGAGGGUUUAAAAGACGAACACACAGCAAAGAGAUUUUGGUUGCUUUAGGUUCUACAAACGGACACUAGGGGGCGCUGAAAGCAAGCUAAAACUACCUCGUUCCCCUUUAAAUUUUACUUCAAUGAACUUAGAAAUGUUCCAGUGAAGUAUGAAGUAAUGCAAUUAUCUGUGUGUACCCUCAUACACGGUCCAUAGUAUACUCGCUAUACUUAUACUCAAGCAUACUUGCUAAAAUAAACUUCUAGUACAUUACCUUUUGCUAAGGGUUUAUUAAUCCGAUAUUUUUUAUCAUGGAUGCUGCUGUGGCAAAGGUCCAACAAGAUGAAAGUAAACAAACAUGUUACAUAAUUUGAGGACAUCGAGACACCGGGCUCGACAGAAAUACACUCAAAUCAUUAGGGAGCUCUGGCACCCAGAUGGGAAAUAAAACAACACAAUAUGUUCUAGCAGAUUUCAUUUCACAUCAGUGGUUAAAAGGAAGAACUGUACAAGCUGUGUAGCCAGAAUCCAUUUUGUUGUUUCAUUUUAUAGGUGUUAAAGUUGUAUGGUACACGUAUAGUCACAGAUGUCCAGAGGUGUUCAGGUUUGUCUCCUCCCACAUCAGGACAACGGCGGACGUAGUACAGGAACUCUUUUGGAAUGUGCAUGAGCCGGUCACGUCCUGCUACAGGGAAUCAACACUGUGUCAGACUGCCUGGAGACUAUCAUUACAAUUAGUUAUCAUUUUGUACCACAAUCAUACAGAUGGAAGCUUUGCAUCAUUGACCCUGCAGCCAAGCACGUCCGUCAAAUAUCUUACUAAAUGCCUCUCAGACCAGAAAAUAAAUCACUUGGAUGACCUGAUUCUGCUGCAACGUUUAAAGCCUCGCAUCCUGGGGGGGGGGCAACAUUUUCAGACCGUUUCUGUCAAUGUACACAGACUUACAUGGUCGCAUAAUCCUGUUUUCAUUUUUUCCAGGUCAUUUCUUAUUCUGAGGUUUUUCUAAAUGAACAAAAAUAAUUUUCAGCAGUAGAUAUUAAAAUAGUGAGAAAAAGCUAAGAGGAAGUGUUUUUAUUUUUAUUUAUUUAUUUUUUAAUGUGAUUGCCAAACAUGAGCUGGCGUGCACAGAAAAAGAAAAUCUGUGCCACAGGAGGUUAGCAGCGCUCCUCUUCUGUCUCAUUUGUGGCAAAGAAAAUAUCCUCCAUAAUUAGUGAGAGAUCACUUAGGGGCCAAAUAGAGCCACAGAAUAUUUUCUCAAACUGUAGAGGAGGCAGGAUUAUUACUGAGGAGUGAAUUUUAAUCGUAUCAGAGCGCUCCGACUCUGAUUCAUCGUGUAUUUGUAUCCGGGUGUUCUGAGUGGUUUUAGUGAAAGGGAGGCACGGAUUCAUGUAGGGCACGUUACAAUGUAAACUUACAAGAUCUCAUGCGACCAGUUAGGACUCUGAGUGUCACAAAGCCACAGUACAAAUCUUUCCUUCUAUGUGGAACAAACAUCAAAUUAUCUUUUUAAACACUGUUGUAGGGGUCUCUGAUUUAAAUGAAUGAGUUAAUCUCUGUGAAAAAG